rnacentral:rRNA from 1 species
UAGGGAAUCUUCCACAAUGGGCGAAAGCCUGAUGGAGCAACGCCGCGUGUGUGAUGAAGGGUUUCGGCUCGUAAAACACUGUUGUAAGAGAAGAAUGACAUUGAGGGUAACUGUUCAAUGUGUGACGGUAUCUUACCAGAAAGGAACGGCUAAAUACGUGCCUG